rnacentral:rRNA from 1 species
CCAGACUCCUACGGGAGGCAGCAGUGGGGAAUAUUGCACAAUGGGGGAAACCCUGAUGCAGCGACGCCGCGUGAGCGAUGAAGUAUUUCGGUAUGUAAAGCUCUAUCAGCAGGGAAGAAAAUGACGGUACCUGACUAAGAAGCCCCGGCUAACUACGUGCCAGCAGCCGCGGUAAUACGUAGGGGGCAAGCGUUAUCCGGAUUUACUGGGUGUAAAGGGAGCGUAGACGGCUGUGCAAGCCAGAUGUGAAAGCCCGGGGCUCAACCCCGGGACUGCCCUUGGAACUGCAUGGCUGGAGUGCGGGAGGGGCAGGCGGAAUUCCUGGUGUAGCGGUGAAAUGCGUAGAUAUUAGGAGGAACACCAGUGGCGAAGGCGGCUUGCUGGACGAUGACUGACGUUGAGGCUCGAAAGCGUGGGGAGCAAACAGGAUUAGAUACCCCUGUAC